rnacentral:lncRNA from 1 species
AAUAGAAGAAGCAGACGACAAUGGCUGACAUGAUAGUAACAUAAUUGAAGGAAGCUGACGUGAGUGUUAAGAAGUUCAGAAGUCAGCGUUUAAGAAGUAAUUCCUUGCGCAGAGAAGGGGAAGAAUAUGGAACUACUGAGAUCCGGAUGCGAGAGACGCUUCAACCGUCAGAGCAGAUCAGACGAAAUGAAAGGGCAGCUAACUCUACUCCUGCGAAGAGGGACAGCGUUGACUCAACUCUCGGUGUGGCUAGGCCAGCGACUUACAAGAUGAGGUGUGACCGCUCUCGCUUGAACGCAGAUGGUUUCAACGACAUGGACUACCAGUGACAGAUGCUUGGACAAAACUCUCCCACUCUCUUUCAAAGGGAGGGACAAGGGCGUCACUGCUGUCUCGAGGGUUGAGGUCGAAAAGGUCAGCUUCUUCGAUAUUUUUCCGCCACCCGAGGACCUCUUCAAUGAUGGCCGUGUAUAGAGGGACGAAGUCGCAUAAUGUCAACAAGCUCCAGAAGACAAACUGUAAACCGGAGGUGAUGACGUGGCGACGACGUUCAUGCUGUGGGGUGCAACAACAGCGACUCACAUACGACACCAGCCGCAGGGCGCUGGACAGGUAGAUGACCACCGGAAGCACGUCACUGCCUCUGUCUGUCGACAGUUUGAAGUCUUGUACCAAUGACAACAGCGCCACCAUGCUCAGUGUCAAGCUGAAAAACUGUCGGCAUGGAAACAGCUUAAAGGUAUUGUCUACAGUACUGGAAGCUGUCGUCUUUUAGCAGUGCUGAUGUGACUGUUAUCAUUCAUCACUUGACUUUAUUAAUUUAUUGUGAAAUAUUAAAGGAAGGAACAACA